CUCACGCGCCCUCCGAUUGGCUGGGAGAAAGCGCGCCCUAGCCGGCUCUCUCAUUGGCUGGAGGAAAGCGCGCCCUGGCUCGCUCUCUGAUUGGCUGAUAGGAAAAAAAACGGGCGCAAAGAAAGAUGACGCCUGUCUGGCGUGUUGGCCCAACAUGGCGGCUUUCCCAUAGAAUAUAGGCCAGGCCUGGACCAACUUAGUAUUGGAAAUGGCUGCACCCGGUCUCCGGCACAUAUGCCUUUGGAAAGUUAAAAAUGUCAUAUCCGUUUGGCGGAUGCCCUAUGCCAGCUAAUAUUGAAAACACAAGUAUGGCCAUCAGAUUGUGGGGAAAAAAUUUAUAUCCCCAUACCAAAAAAGGGAAAUACUAAAGAAUGCUCGAACCUCCGUACAGUGGCACUUAUUUCCCAUGCCAGUAAGAUAAUGCUCAAGAUCCUGCAAGGCAGACUUCAGCAAUACAUGGAGCGAGAGUUUCCAGAUGUCCAAGCUGGGUUCAGAAAAGGCAGAGGAACGAGAGACCAAAUUGCCAAUAUCCGCUGGAUAAUGAAGGAAGUUCCUUAUUGAAAAACCGGACCUCGGAGGUUUCACAAGGUUUGCCUUCUUAAAAAGGGGCAUCACAACUGAGCCUCUUAAUUAGGAGGCUAAAGUCCUUGCAAAACUUCAACUCCCAGGACUCCAUAGUAUUGAGCCAGUUAAAGCGGGGUAGAACUGCUUUAAUUCUACAAUGAAGAUGCACCCCCAAGACUCAUAAAUGCAUCUGUUUCCUGUUUCAUUUACACUUUGUAAGGUAAAGGUAAAGGUUUUCCCUUGACAUUAAGUCUAGUUGAGUCGGACUCUGGGGUUUGGUGCUCAUCUCCAUUUCUAAGCUGAAGAGCCGAUGUUGUCCGUAGAUACCGUCAAGGUCAUGUGGCUGCAUGGAGUGCCAUUAUCUUCCCGUUGGAGCGGUACCUAUUGAUCUACUCACAUUUGCAUGUUUUCAAACUGCUAGGUUGACAGAAGCUGGGGCUAAUAAGCAGAGCUCACCCUGCUCCCUACCCACUUUUUGGCCAGCAAGUUCAGCAGCUAAGCAGUUUAAGCACCACUGAGGGCUCCUUACACUUUGUACACACAGCUAUUUUUCAAAGAAAGAGGCAGGCACCACUGCCUCUGAAGGUUUGCCAGAGAAAACCUGGUGAAAUUCAUGGGGUCACAUCAACAGGUGACUUAAAGGCAGACAUGCAAUUAGGUACAAUCUUGACAUAUAUAGUCUGAUAGUAAAGUUAUACACAAUGUUUUUAGAUAAUUUUGUGUAUUAAACUAGGUUUGUGUACAUUGAACCAGCGGGGAAACAAAGGUGUCACUUGCAAAUCAGACUUGCCAAUUGCACCUUUCACACUUGGUUAAUUGACAUUGGUUCUUUCUCGCACCCUGGACAUUCCACAGGUAUAUAUACUCCACUUCCUUUACCACCAUCAGAUCCUGUGAAAAUGCCAACCGCAGAUACAGGCAAAACAUCAGGAAAAGAUUCUGCUGGCACAUAUUGGCCAUAUAACCCAGAAACCACACAACAGUCCAAAGGUGUCACUGUCUCAGCCACCCCACUCAACUGUUUUGGAUUAUUUCAGGCUUCAGAAUUCUGAAUAUGGGAUACUCCACCUGUAUAUGAUCAAAGACGAUUCCUUUCUUGGAUCCAGUGAAAACAAGAUACUGGGAUGACACCCCAAAGAAGCCUAAAUUGACUCAGUGAUAACAGAACUCCAGAUUGCAGCUGCAUUUGGUGAAGCAAGAAAGGUUUUUUACAAUGGGACUUUACAAACCUUCUGAUAUUGUGUAAAUGUUUGAUUCCUAAAAUUGGUCAAAAACAAAAGUUUAGAAGCUGACUGCUAAUGUGGUACAUGGUUGGCCCCUGAAUAUUAAAGAAAUAAGCAUGUCUAAAAAGCCAGAUGUUUCUGUAAGAAAUACAAGUUUACCACAAGCUAUUUCUGGGAAGAAGGGACCUAACUCAAAAGAUGUUUGAUAGAGAAAAUAGCAAACAGGUGACCUGAAUAUGGAUAGGAAAAAACUGAAAAAGCAUUGGUAUUGCCAUUUUGUGCUGGAUGAUGCAAUCAUCUUAUGGCUGACCUGUGUCUGAUGACAAUGUGUUGGCAGACAGCCAUUUUAGAAAUGGUUAUUGAUUAGUUACUAUAUAAGGCCAGUAAAACCUCAUCUCUGAUUACAUGGAAUAAUAUUUUUAACCUUAAUGUGGAGUAGUUGAUUGGGCAGAUAGGUUCUGGAGAGAAUACAAAAGCUAUCUCAAAAGGCAAAUACUUAAAACUGUUUAUAUGGCCCCCAAUUAUGCCCUUUCAGCUUUUAUGCUUUCCCGUUCAUAAUUAAAAUGCUUGAAAUGGAAGAGCUAAGAGAACUUCUCCUCCUAAUAUCUUAAUAUGCUGUAUUACGACUCUAAAUGUAUUGCUGUUUAAAGUCCUUGACAAAACAAUGUGUAGAAAUGCCUGCUAGUGAUAAAGCAGAUGAUGUGAAAUAUUUGUUACGAAUGCAAGUCUCGAUGUGGAGUUCGUUUCCAAAAGGUCCCAUCCAUCUUAACAAAUGUUAUAGAAAACAGCCCAAACAAUUAAGCUGCCUGCUCAUACUCCUAUGCCAAAAUGUCCUGAAAGUUCAAUAGUUCAACAAGUCUGUAAGUGGAGUAUUGAUGCUAUAUUUGCUUGCUUGAACUAUACCAGGCAUGGACAAACUUCAACCCUCCAGGUGUUUUGGACUUCAACUAUCGGCUGUUAGGAAUUGUGGGAGUUGCAGUCCAAAACACCUGGAGAGCUGAAGUUCAUCCAUGCCAGGACUAUACGACUGUUCACAGCUUACCAUUGUAAAUGAGCCUACUCAGGUUUUUAUCUAUGUUUUAUUGUAAAUAUGAUUUAAAUAUGUUUUACCGAUUUGUUUUUACAUUGUUGUGUCUUUUGCACUGUCGGGGCUUGGCCCUAUGUAAGCCACCCUGAGUCCCUUCGGGGAGAUGGAGGCGGGGUAUAAAAAUAAAAUUAUUAUUAAUUAUUAUUAUUAAAUGAACUUGUGUGAGAAUGUUGCCAAUUCAGAGGCCCAUAUUCAUUUGGCCUGGGACUGUGGUGCUGCAGAUAUAUUUGACAGAGCCUGUUUCAUCAUAACCCCCCAAAUAGGUGAGUUCUCUUCCAGGCCUGAAAAUAUUAUUUCAGAGAGGAUUUUGAAGUUUGAUUGUUGUUAUUGCAUCACUUUUUUAAUCUUUGAAUUUUGUAAACUGUCUUGAAGUAUCCUUAAUCUAGUAAAAUGCAACAUUUGAAUUUGAAUGUAAAUAGUUAAUGGUGAAGAAGUUGUAAUUCUUUAUGCCACAAACUCUUGAUAUUUGUUACAAGCAGAGACGAGAGUUCACAAUCUGCUAUGCAGCCGCUUAAGAACACAUGAGAAAGUUAGUACAGUACCUAAAGAACCAACUGUGAAAGGAAGACAUCAAAGAAAGAGCAAUGAUCCAAAGGACAGCCAAUGCAAAGACUUGAUUUCUUUCCAGUUAUGGUUUUAAUACUUCUGUGAUCCCAGAAAUCCAAACUGUAAUAUAACACUUAAACCCACUAACUCAGAAAACAGAAAAUGUUAUUUUAAAAUGUUUCUAUUUGAAGUGACUGAAUUCAAUUGUAGCAAAUAGCAUCAAUCCAAUUUUGCCAGGUUUUUGUUCCAAAUAAAACUGUAUAGAUCUUAAUAACCCUGUGCAAAAUACAAAUGUUGGCAUCAAGUUAAUCUGUAAUGACUAGUGUGCCUUAAAAUACUGCCAUGCCAAAUUGUACCUGUGACUUCUCAGUAAUCCACAUGCAAACCAUGUAACUAAAGUUAUUUUUUUUAGAAGGCAGCACAUUACAUAUUGCAAAACAAAUAAUUAUGCUAUAGCUACAUAACUUUUGCUCCUUUUCUCCUGCCCUGCCUCCGGUAUCUGUUAAUUAUUUGCAAAUGCUUUCUGGAACAAGAUGGUGAAAUAAGGUAACUUUGUGGCAGGAAGACCAAAGUUAAGCACAUUUCUUGUCCACAUGUAGUGAAAGAUAUUCUCCACAACUUAAAAUAUACUCCAAACGAGUGGUGGGAAAAUAUAAGGCCAUCCACAAUUUCCAUCAGCUCUAGCCAAUAUAGGCAAUAGAAAGGCAUGGGAAUUGCAGACUCAUAUUAGGUGAAGGGAAAGGUUUUCAUCCUGAACCUGAAACAAAGCCAGCUUUAAAAAGCAACUGCUGUUUUUGUAUUUGAUUGCUUUGAUCUGAGUUAAGCAGUAAUUAAAAGCUGUUUUGAGUAACA